rnacentral:lncRNA from 1 species
AUGUUUACUUUUGAAAUCUAUUUUAGGCUCAUUGCUUGUUUGAGGAUUCUAAUGACAAUUUCCCUUUGUGUUUUGGCUUGCAGAGUGUUCUUUGUCCCACGAUUGGCGAAUGUUCUUUCGUUAGGGGUUCAGACACCAAUGCCAUUUCUUCAGAGCAUUGUCUACACCUGCAUAGGGUUUGUAAAGAUGAAAAAAAUGCAUGACACACAUCACCAAGAAUCAGGGGUUGUGCCUGGCAAUGCAAUUGAGAAAAGCUUUGGAAUGAACUCCCCCUGGGCAGUGGUCUCUGCCUUCUGUUACAGAAGACGGCAAAAAUAGGAGCCGGUGUACCUCUGGCCAAUUAUUCAAUGCUCCAUCACAAGGGGAAAUUCCUUCCUCACCCCAGCUGGUGAACAGUUAUGCCCUGGAGCCCAGGACGGACAUGCCUUGUAACUUUUUAACCUGGUUAGUGUAACUGCCAAUAUUAUUCCUAUUCAUAUAAAUGUCUAAUCCUUUCUUGAAUCUUGCUAGACUAUUUGCCUCAAUAAUAUCCUGCGGCAGUGAAUUCCACAGGUAGAUUAUACGCCGUUUUAAAAAGUAUUUCCUUUUAUUCAUUUUAAAUUUGUUACCUUUUAAUGUCACAAGAUGUCCCUUGUUCUUGCAUUAAGGGCUACAGGGUACAGGCAUUGGAAAUUCAGCUUUAAUUUUUCGAAGCAUUCCACCAUUAUUAAAGCUCCAUCUUCUUCAUAUUGUUUCCUAUUUUGGCAUAUCUGAUCUUGAUUCAAUGAGAUGAUUGAGGUAAAUGGUCUCAUACUACUUCAGACACAUAGUAGGCACUAGAAGAAAGGUCUCCUUGAUAUUUGAUGCCAUUUAUUGGACACAUGUUUAUUGAGCACCUACUGUGUGCGGGAAUUGUAAAUAUUGGAGAGACAGCUUUGAGUGAGACAGAGUCCUUGUUCUGAAAGCUCUAAUUUUCUAGAGAAGAUAAGCACCAAUAAAGUGAAUAAGGAUGAACUACA